rnacentral:tRNA from 2 species
CAGAGUGUAGCUAAAAUAGUAAAGCACCUCCCUUACACCGAGGAGACAUCCGUGCAAAUCGGGUCACCCUGA